NNNNNNNNNNNNNNNNNNNNNNNNNNNNNNNNNNNNUCGCCUGCGCCCAGUGCGGCAAGGGCUUCGGCAAGAAGGCGCACCUGACGCGGCACCUGCGGGUGCACACGGGCGAGCGCCCCUUCCCCUGCGCCCAGUGCGGCCGCCGCUUCCGCCAGAAGAUCCACCUGCGCUCCCACCAGAAGACGCACACGGGCGAGCGGCCUUACCCCUGCGCCGAGUGCGGCCGCCGCUUCCGCAAGAAGACCCACCUGGUGCGGCACCAGCGCACGCACACGGGCGAGCGGCCCUUCGCCUGCGCCCGCUGCGGCCGCGGCUUCGCCCACAAGCAGCACCUGCUGCGGCACCAGCAGCUGCACGCGGAGCCGGCGCCGGAGCCGGAGCCGGAGCUGGAGCCGGAGCCGGCCGAUCCCUGCCCGCCGCCCGCCGAGCAGAAGCCCUUCGCCUGCCCCGAGUGCGGCAAGAGCUUCAGCUGGAAGAAGAACCUGGCGUCGCACCGGCGGCUGCACCUGGAGGGGCGGCCGUUCGCCUGCGCCGAGUGCGGCCGCGGCUUCAGCGACAAGCGGCACCUCACCGCCCACCUGCGCGGCCACAUGGGCCUCAAGCCCUACGCCUGCCCCGACUGCGAGAAGACCUUCAGCCACAAGCCCAACCUGACCACGCACCAGCGCACCCACACGGGCGAGCGCCCCUUCGCCUGCCCCGACUGCGGCCGCGGCUUCGCCCACAACCAGCACCUGCUGCGGCACCUGCGGGUGCACACGGGCGAGCGCCCCUUCGCCUGCCCCCAGUGCGGCCGCUGCUUCAGCUCCCGGCCCAACCUCAUCGCCCACACCAAGGCGCACGCCGGCGCGCGCCCCUUCGCCUGCGAGCAGUGCGGCCGCGGCUUCAGCCGCAAGUCACACCUGGCCCGCCACCAAGCCGUGCACACCGGCACCCGGCCCCACGGCUGCGCCCAGUGCGGCAAGCGCUUCAGCUCCAAGACCAACCUGGCGCGCCACCAGGCCGUGCACACCGGCCACCGGCCCUACAUCUGCACCCAGUGCGGCAAGAGCUUCAGCCGCAAGACGCACCUGCUGCGCCACGAGCGCACCCACGCCGCCGCCGCCGUCCCGGCACCGGCCCAGCAGGAGACGCAGAAGGCGGCGCUGCGCUACGAGCGGGCCGUCAGCAUGCACA
rnacentral:lncRNA from 1 species